UAGUGGCGAACGGGUGAGUAACACGUGGGCAAUCUGCCCUUCACUCUGGGACAAGCCCUGGAAACGGGGUCUAAUACCGGAUACCACUCCUGCCUGCAUGGGCGGGGGUUGAAAGCUCCGGCGGUGAAGGAUGAGCCCGCGGCCUAUCAGCUUGUUGGUGGGGUAAUGGCCCACCAAGGCGACGACGGGUAGCCGGCCUGAGAGGGCGACCGGCCACACUGGGACUGAGACACGGCCCAGACUCCUACGGGAGGCAGCAGUGGGGAAUAUUGCACAAUGGGCGAAAGCCUGAUGCAGCGACGCCGCGUGAGGGAUGACGGCCUUCGGGUUGUAAACCUCUUUCAGCAGGGAAGAAGCGAAAGUGACGGUACCUGCAGAAGAAGCGCCGGCUAACUACGUGCCAGCAGCCGCGGUAAUACGUAGGGCGCAAGCGUUGUCCGGAAUUAUUGGGCGUAAAGAGCUCGUAGGCGGCUUGUCACGUCGGAUGUGAAAGCCCGAGGCUUAACCUCGGGUCUGCAUUCGAUACGGGCUAGCUAGAGU
rnacentral:rRNA from 1 species